UGUGUGAUCAGAACUAGACCGGAAGUGGUGUUAGGCACCAGGUCUCCUCCAGCCCCCAUUUUGUAAGACUACUGAACCAUCCCUUGUGACAUUUGUGUACGCAAUCCGGCAUCAAAAACAUCUCGGAAAUGGCCACAGCAUGAGUUUCAGGUGGAGAUGACAUGCAAAGGGUGUUCUGGUGCUGUUGAAAGAGUUCUCAAAAAAGUUCCAGACGUGGCAAAUAUUGAGAUAGACCUUGAAAUGAAGAGAGUGUUUGUGACUUCCACACUUUCUUCUGAU